rnacentral:lncRNA from 1 species
AUGCUUGUGUGAAUGAAAGAUAGUGAGGCAGAAAAAUGAAAAGGCUGCAAAGUCAAAAACGGGGAGAUACUGACACCAAAUCUCUGCAAAGCGUUCAAAAUUCUCCAGCUGCCACGCUUUUAAUUUGCUACCAUUCUAAUUAAAAUGCAAAUUAAAUUUAUAAUUAGCAUCAGCGCUUUCUAAAGAAACCUCCUUGUGCGCUGCACAAACAUAUGGGACGAUGCUGUAGUGUAAAGUUUGUAAAACAGAAGUC